AUUCGACAUUCGUCUCACAUUCGGAAGAUGCUACUUUGCAGCAUCGCGUUAGGGACCGGGUGAAAACAACCCAUACCAUUUUGAAAAAUGUAGACUUUUAUAAUAUUUUUUUGAAUAUAAAACCGCAAUUUUCAAUUUUCAUAAAAGUUUUAAACAAAACUCAAAUAAAUUGCUCAUCUUGGAAAAUAGAAUUAAAUCCACACAAAUAUUAAUAACUUUUUCAAAAUGUUGUGCCUGUUUGUGCACAUUCUGAAGAUUUUUUGCACUGUGAAUUUGCACUGUCAGUUCUGUUUUUGAAUAAAGGGUUGGAAAUUAGUGCUUUUUUGUUUAUCCGAUUCAUCGAUUAAUCAAAAAAAGAAUCAACAGAUUAAUCGAUUAUUAAAAUAAUUGUUAGUUGCAGCCCUAAUUCACACACAUACUUGAUGCUAUCUACCUUUCCAUUAGCGACAGUAACUCAGCUGUUAGCUGCAGAGCUAAUGUUACAGCCAUAUUCUAAGGGUAGCAAGCUAGGUAACCAUAUAUAGUAAAGCUACAAAAUGAUAUAGCGUUAGUUAACUUACUUGUCCGAGGUUAGUAGCUGGACGAAGGAGAGUUAGUACUGAUCCAGAAUUUAAUUUCAGCAAGGCCAGUUUUGUAUUAGCUCAAAUUGAAGAAACAGUCGUGGCUGAAGUGUUUGGCGCAGACAUACAAAACAAAUGCGCCUACAACAGAAAUUGUGUAAGUGCAUUUCCAGAGAAAAUAAAAUUAAGACACUGGGUCUUCAGAGGCUCGGAUGAAGGAACUGUAAAAAGAAUCACCUGAAGAAUCGUGGGCAAAUCAUAACAUCAGGAUCCGGGCAACUAAAAAUACAUUUAGUGAGGCACGGCUGCUGCUACCAAGGGCACUGCUGACAUCAGAUCUUCAAACUGAAGAUGAGGAGGACCAACGUCCAGCUUAUAGGAGAAGGAAGAGAAGCAAUUCUCCGUGACAUUUUGACAACAAUGGAGACUAUCAAGCAUCAACAGCAAAUGAUUUUGCUACAGUUGCAAACAACUCGUCAACCAAUGGAGGUGCCAGAUGUUUCUGGCAUUCCAUUAACAUCGCUGGAUGAACUGAUCAAGCUUGAGGAGAGCAUUGCUUCACAGGUGGAAUACAAACGAAAAUUGGUCACCUAUUUUGGGCUGGCGUGGGGGUUGACAAUAAAGGAGACAGUGUGGAGAAUAAUGGCCAAACUAAUGACAAAUGAACUGGCAAAGCAAAUCAACUGGCAAGGGGUAAAUGGCAAGUAUGGCUUUGAGCCACUUGCCAUUAAAGAUGUUGUCCUAAGUAAGUUUUAUUUUAGUAUUAUAAGGUAGAAAUAAGAAACACUAUAAAGUAACAAACAUGUUGCCUAGUAUGCUUAUUCACUUUCCUGUCUUGUGAAUGGCCUUAACCUGCCUGUUCCAUUACGUUUUUUUUGUUUGUUUCUUAAGAAUCUGUGCGAUGCAAUGCAAGUACUGCAUCCGAUGGAAAUGUAGAAAAGUUUAUUAAAAGGUGGCUGCAGCUUGCAUCGGACCGAGAUGGAGGUGUUAUGUUCUGUCUUGUCCAGUCCUGGUUUUGUGUGUGUCUGUCCAGUCUAUGUUCCAGGUCACAUACCCCAACACUCCGGUUCACAUCUUCCAGUU